AACGCGAAGAACCUUACCAGCCCUUGACAUGUCCCGUGUGGGCCGGAGAGAUCCGGUCCUUCAGUUCGGCUGGCGGGAACACAGGUGCUGCAUGGCUGUCGUCAGCUCGUGUCGUGAGAUGUUGGGUUAAGUCCCGCAACGAGCGCAACCCCCAUCUUCAGUUGCCAGCGGUUCGGCCGGGCACUCUGAAGAAACUGCCGGUGACAAGCCGGAGGAAGGCGGGGAUGACGUCAAGUCCUCAUGGCCCUUAUGGGCUGGGCUACACACGUGCUACAAUGGCGGUGACAGCGGGAUGCAAAGGGGCGACCCUGAGCCAAUCUCGAAAAGCCGUCUCAGUUCGGAUUGCUCUCUGCAACUCGCCUGCAUGAAGUCGGAGUUGCUAGUAAACGCAGGUCAGCAUACUGCGUUGAAUAUGUUCCCGGGCCUUGUACACACCGCUACAGU
rnacentral:rRNA from 1 species